GGAACAUCUCCGUUACAGGUAGUGCUGGAUGCAGGGCAUUGUGUACUUCCUGAGGGAUUGUGUACCACCUGGGGUCUUGUGAUCUAAUGGGGAGGAUGGACAAGAAGUAAUGCUGGGUGUCCUUCGCACAAAUUGUCCAGGUUGGACAUCAUGGCUCCUAUCACCGAGGAUUUUGAGAACCUAUGAUCUAUUGCUUGUAUCAUACCAUAUGAUCAACGUUCUCAUGAAAAAGAAACAACAUUCACAAGAUUCAAGGGAAGUAACUCCUACAACCCUACAGCACAUAUAGACACUUCAAAGUCAUGCAAAUCAAUCGAUCACAAACUGUCCAAAUAUGCAAAAUUGAUGUUGGAGUAGGAUCUAUAAGCUGGAUUCAUUGUGAAAAAGUAAAUAGUAUAAGUUACAAUAGUAUGAGUAUAAAAUGAUAGACACUUUCUGUAGUAUCUGCUCAAUGGUUGACUCUCUCUGCAGUAUGUAGCUAAUGUUAACAACACUGAUUCAUAAAUGCAUUAAAUUCGCAGCUAGAUUAGCUAUUUAUGCAAGGCAA